GCCCUCGUGGUGAAAUUGGUAGACACAACGGACUUAAAAUCCGUGCCUUUUUGGAGUGCCAGUUCGAGUCUGGCCGAGGGCACCA
rnacentral:tRNA from 8 species